rnacentral:rRNA from 1 species
AGAACGAACGCUGGCGGCAUGCCUAACACAUGCAAGUCGAACGCUCUUGGGGCUUCGGUCUCAGGGGAGUGGCGCACGGGUGAGUAGCGCGUGGGAACCUGCCCUGUUGUGGGGGAUAACCGAGGGAAACUUCGGCUAAUACCGCAUAAGCCGGUUGUCUUGAAGGAGAUGGCCGGGAAAGAUUUAUCGCGACAGGAGGGGCCCGCGUCGGAUUAGCUAGUUGGUGGGGUAACGGCCCACCAAGGCGGUGAUCCGUAGCUGGUCUGAGAGGAUGAUCAGCCACACUGGGACUGAGACACGGCCCAGACUCCUACGGGAGGCAGCAGUGGGGAAUAUUGGACAAUGGGCGCAAGCCUGAUCCAGCAAUGCCGCGUGAGUGAUGAAGGCCUUCGGGUUGUAAGCUCUUUCGCACGCGACGAUGAUGACGGUAGCGUGAGAGACGCCCGGCUAACUUCGCGCAGCAGCCGCGGU